rnacentral:rRNA from 1 species
UACGUAGGGUGCGAGCGUUAAUCGGAAUUACUGGGCGUAAAGCGUGCGCAGGCGGUUUUGCAAGCCGGAUGUGAAAUCCCCGGGCUUAACCUGGGAAUGGCAUUUGGGACUGCAAGGCUGGAGUGCGGCAGAGGAGACUGGAAUUCCUGGUGUAGCAGUGAAAUGCGUAGAUAUCAGGAGGAACACCGAUGGCGAAGGCAGGUCUCUGGGCUGACACUGACGCUCAUGCACGAAAGCGUGGGGAGCGAAACAAGG